rnacentral:lncRNA from 1 species
AUCAUGCAGACUACUCAGUACCGCAAGAUGCACCUGCCAUGUCCGAGGCUGCAGACUGCUCAACAUUGAAUGCACCACAAGAGGAGGCCUGUGCUAUCUUUGACACUGCUUCAGUACCUUCAGGGGCGUUGAAAAGAAAGCUUUCAGACGCUGAUGUUCCUGUGACAGACUUGUUUUCUACACC